rnacentral:lncRNA from 1 species
GUGCUUUAUGGUAAUGGUGGAUGGUAAGUUGGUAGAGGGUUGCUAAGGAAAAUGAUGUGAUUCUGAUAGGGACAACUGAAAUGCAAUGAAGUUUCUAUCGUAAUCUGAUUCCACAUCUCUUUUUAAAAUAUUUAUUAAUCUUAUACCUGUUUUUUUCUUAUUUUUAAUUAGAUAUUUUAGUCUCUAUUAGCGAAUAUGGCUGGGUUAAAUUCAAAAAUAUUGAUGAAUAGUUUAAUUUUGUAACAAAUUGAUCAAAAUGAAUGUAUUUGGAUCAUGUACUUCAAAGAGACGAAUUAUUUUGAUGAUGUUAAUCAAUAUUUCAAAAUUAUAUUAUGGCAGUGAAUCCAAAAUUCCUCAAGAAAGAGUAUCCUUGCUGUUUUUUCUUGAUUAAUAUUAUUUUAGAUUUAAUUUUAUUAUGAGCCGUGAGGACAUAUACUUGGGAAUCUCUCCGAAUCAAAAAUGACGAGAAUUUCAUUUUAAAAUGACAAAACUGAGCUCACAUGAUUUCAGAAAUAAAAAUAAAUAAUAAUAAUAAUAAUACUGUGUACUAUUGAUACUUUAAUUGCUA